UACGGAGGGAGCUAGCGUUGUUCGGAAUUAUUGGGCGUAAAGCGCACGUAGGCGGCGAUUCAAGUCAGAGGUGAAAGCCCGGGGCUCAACCCCGGACUGCCUUUGUAAACUAGAUUGCUAGAAUCCUGGAGAGGCGAGUGGAAUUCCGAGUGUAGAGGUGAAAUUCGUAGAUAUUCGGAAGAACACCAGUGGCGAAGGCGACUCGCUGGACAGGUAUUGACGCUGAGGUGCGAAAGCGUGGGGAGCAAACAGGAUUAGAACCGUACGCUG
rnacentral:rRNA from 1 species